GACGGAAUGGCCGAGUUUGGCCAUGUACCGAUCCGCACCGACCUCGACCUUGCGGCCAUUGACGGUGGCGGCGAUACCGUAACCCGUCACGCUUUCGAAGUUCUCGACGGUUGGGGGUUCAAGUCCCUCUCCCGCUACCA
rnacentral:tRNA from 2 species